GUCCUCGUAGCUCUGUUGGAUAGAGCAUUGGCUGUACUAAAGCCUUCCCCAUGAUGGCGUGGGUUCGUAUCCCACCGAGGCCG
rfam:Schistocephalus solidus strain NST_G2 genome assembly, scaffold: SSLN_scaffold0000093